UGCUGGGAGGGGAUGGCGUAGCAUCAACUGCUGGGUACCCCCCUUUGAUCCCCACUCCCUGCACCCCGCAUCCCACUCCAGCUCAGGAGGCGGCCUCUCCCAGCGGACGCUGAACCCCAGGAGCGGUGCGGGGGCGAGAUUGAGUGCACAAUGAAAUAACCAGAAGCUGGGACACCUGGCAAAAGCAGACUGAAUUCUAACUCCGAAAGAACUGAUGAGGACCUUGCUAUGCCUGCAGACAGAAUGGAAUCUCUAUUUCUAAAUGAACUUAUGGAGUUCCUGCAUAAUUAAAUAGCCCUAAUAAUCCUCAAAAACCACUCCAUGAGAUUGAAGGGAUAAAUCACAGCAUGGAAGUCAAUAGGCAGAUUGCAGCAUCAGUAGCAACAAUCAGAGGUAAAUGAAUACUGGUGUUUCAGCUUAAUUUCUCUUUAUUCAUUACCGAACCUCAGCCCAUAGAAGGGUGGUUUUAAGAUGGGUUUUCCCACUUUAAUUAACCCAACCUAGAAUUUUCCUUGAACAUGCCCAGAAUUUGUUUUCAUGUUGAACUUAAAUUCCAGCAAGUUGAUAUACAAGAUUAACUGUCUCCCUUAUCUCCUUCAGUGAUGUGAGCAUAUGCUAGUAUGCAGAAUUAAAUCACGCUUUGAUACUAAGAGCAUGGGCACACUGCCUGGUAUCCAACAGUCCCUUUCUCUAAAGCCUUGAAUUCAUACUGAUAAAAAAUGUUCGACUUACCACAGGAUUAUGAUCUUGUUAGAAUACACUCCAAGCAGAGUGGGCAAAAUAGCUUCAAUAUCUUCUGACAUUAGCUUUAUAUUUUUGUUUUGCUUCUUGAAUAGUGUAUACUGUGUAAAUCACUUUACUGGUGUAAAUCAAUGUGCUGGUAAGACUUCUGCAGUUCGCCAUAGUAAGUAAAGUAUUACGCAAAGCUAUUAAUUACCUUUGAACAAUUAAACAGAAUUAAUGCCCACACUUUCUAUCAAUUAUAAUUUAUUCUUUAAAAGAUCACCAUGGAGUUGUAACAAUAUUGGAAAAAUUACCAACAAUAAGUAAGUACAAAUAAAAUGACAGAGUAUGAAAUUACAAAUUCUGAAAGUUACUAAGUGACAUUGGGUUCCAAGCAUCUUAAGCCUAUGAAUUGUUAAAAUCUUGAUUAUCUUUACAGGGAGAAGUUGGAAGACAGAACUCUCAGAACAUAAUUUGGCAGUGUUCUGACACAAGAAUGGAGAUCUAGAAAAGUUACAUUUAUUUAAGGCACAUUUGCAAGACAAUAUGUAUAAGAGCUUUGAGGUAUCUCUCAAUCAGGUCCACAUAUUUAACAAAAUAUGGAUCUCAAUCCUCACUUACAAACCUCAAGAAUUACAUACUUUUGAUAAAGUAUUGAACAUAUUAAUCCAUAUUUUUCAAACUAAGAUUAUAAGCUAACAUUUCAUGAUGGAUUGUAUGGUAAUAAAAUAUUUAUUAAGUUACAUUUAAUUUCUAAUUUGUGUCAUUCUAGUCUUUACUCAAAUGUCUUUAUGCAAGCCAAUUCAAAAAGUAAGAUAAAUUAACAAUUUCUUAGAAGUAAGGCAUAUGCUACAUUUUACAGAGCUAUCUGGGACUGAUGUGCACUUUGACCAAAACAAUUAUCAAAUAAGCAUAAUUUUAACAUUAUAUUUGCCAAAAAGCUACAUUUCUAGUUCAAUAAAACUUACUAGUUCAAUAAAUUUUAAUAAAAUUAACUUGGCUUAGGUUUUUAAUUCUUAAUAACUAAAAAAUAGAAGGUAAUCUUUUGUUCCAAGCUAUAUCUCUCUGAGACCUGAGAAAGGAAAACAGUAAGUAUACUUUGAACAUCUUUCAUGUUCUUCAUCCUUCAGUUUCACUACCAUAAUGUUAAGAUGUUAUUCUAUGCUUCUUUUAAAUUGAACAAGUACUACAGUGUAGUAAAAAUAUUCCUCUGGAGACUGGUGUGAAAAGAAAUACAAGUUCUAGGGGAAAAGAGAAAGUCAUCAAUGCCACUCUUUCACAAUAGUAUUUAUCUUGUAGACUUUGUAAAGAAGAAAAUAGUGUUAUGUUUUAGGAAGGAAUAGAGAAGCACAGAUUGGUAUUCAAAUCCUAUCCUUAAAAUUCUACUAAAGUCGAAAAUCCAUAUAUGAGUGAGUAGAUACCAUUUUUGUCUUUUUGUGACUGGGUUACCUCAUUGAGGACGGUUUGUUCUAGGGCCAUACAUUUGCUGGCAAAUUUCAAGAUCCCAUUUUUUUUCUGCAAAUGUACCAAAUUUUCUCUACCCACUCUUCAGGUGAGGGGCAUCUACGUUGUUUCCAGAUUCUGGCUAUUACAAAU